UGACUCCAGUCUGGCUCUGUGCGGCGACAUCUGAGGUGUAGUAUAGGUGGAAGCGCAAGCACAAAUGAAAUACCACCACUUGGAACGUUGCUUCACUUAUCGAAUGAAGAGACCAAUGGGUUUCGCGUAGUCUGCGGGCUAUGCACCGUCUAGGUUUGGGAUUUUUUUUUAUGGCGGUAACCCCGUCUCCACGGGAGGUUGUGUGUAUAU